AUUGAACGCUGGCGGCAGGCCUAACACAUGCAAGUCGAGCGGAUGAAGGGAGCUUGCUCCUGGAUUCAGCGGCGGACGGGUGAGUAAUGCCUAGGAAUCUGCCUGGUAGUGGGGGAUAACGUCCGGAAACGGGCGCUAAUACCGCAUACGUCCUGAGGGAGAAAGUGGGGGAUCUUCGGACCUCACGCUAUCAGAUGAGCCUAGGUCGGAUUAGCUAGUUGGUGGGGUAAAGGCCUACCAAGGCGACGAUCCGUAACUGGUCUGAGAGGAUGAUCAGUCAAACGGGAACUGAGACACGGUCCAGAUCCCUACGGGAGGCAGCAGUGGGAAUAUUGGACAAUGGGCGAAAGCCUGAUCCAGCCAUGCCGCGUGUGUGAAGAAGGUCUUCGGAUUGUAAAGCACUUUAAGUUGGGAGGAAGGGCAGUAAGUUAAUACCUUGCUGUUUUGACGUUACCAACAGAAUAAGCACCGGCUAACUUCGUG
rnacentral:rRNA from 1 species